UUGCGAGCGUCCGCAGCUUGCGCAUAGAGUAACAGAAAAUGACAAGAGUGGACACACGAGCCUAUAAGCGGCGGAGCUACGCAGCUUCUCGCCAGCCGUUAGACGGCAGCACGUCACUCCCUGUUUCCAAGAGAACGCACGUACUAGUUAUCUACUGCAGUACCUUUUCUGGUUCACGAUACAUCUACUUGUCUUUGUCAGACUAUGUGGCUGCGGCAGUGGCUUCCGCUGGCUCGCAGUGCGGCUCUAAAUCCGUCUUUAUCGUCUGCGAUUGGACAGUUCGAAAUCAUCGAUUGGUAGCUGUCAUGACCAUAUAUGGUCAGGAUUGCCGGCAUGGCAAGACGACGCGGUGCUCCGUGGAAUUCGCUGGGAUCGUCUGCCGGGAAGUCACUCUGCUUGGCGGCUGCUUGGUCAUGCCGUCCGGAGUCAAGUACUACGGCAGCUACUGCUGCGCUGUGUGGUGCAACAACGGCAGGAUAGGGAGAGAGCGUGGUACUAAGUGGUUCAGGAUUCCGCGAGACGACAGGUAGCCCUUUGCACCUUUCCAAGAUGUAAUUUUGAAGUUGUGGUUGUCAUUAGCUAACUAUCAAAGUAUGUCCGUAUCUUUCGCACUAUUUUGCCGUUCAGCUAGUUAGUGUUUGGAUGGUCAUACAUAUUCUUCAUUCGCUUAAAUCGAGUGGCCCCUUUUCACUCUGAAAUCCCCUUUUCCUCUGUGAUGCUAAUGCUGUCUUCUGCACUUUUAUUGUAUUGUGAGAAUUUUCUCAAUAUCGCCUAUUUAUUCCUACUGUGCAAUUUCUCAACAUGUGGCAGCUGUCUUGCAUUGUGCAGUGCACCCAUCUUUUGUAUGUGCUUAUUGAGAAUGUGACUUGAAAUAAAAUGUUUCGUCUGUCCCA